ensembl:lncRNA
GCUAGGUGAGCUGGGUGAACUGGGCUGGACUGGGCUGAACUGGACUGAGCUGGGCUGGGCUAGGCAAGCUGAGCUGAACUGGGUAGAGCUGAGCUGAACUAGGCUGAGCUGGGUUCAAUUAGGUUAAAAUGGACUGAGCUGGGCUGAACUGGGCUGAGCUAGGUGAGCUGGGCUGAGCUGAGCUGAAUUAGGCUGACCUGGGCUGAACCAGGCUGAGAUGAGCUGAGCUAAACUGGGCUGAGAUGAGCUGAGUGGGGCUGACCUUGGUGAACUGAGCUGAACUGGGCUGAAAUGGGAUGAACUAGGUUGAACUGGCCUAGGCUGGGCUGAGCAGGGUUGAGCUGGCUUGAGCUAGGUGAGCUGGGUGAACUGGGCUGGACUGGGCUGAACUGAACUGAACUGGGCUGGGCUAGGCAAGCUGAGCUGAACUGGGUAGAGCUGAGCUGAACUAGGCUGAGCUGGGCUAAGCUGGGCUCAACUGGACUGAACUGGGCUCAACUGGGCUGAGCUGAGCUGAACUGGGCUGAGAUGAGAUGAGAUGUGCUAGGCUGAGCUGGGCUGAACCAGGCUGAGAUGAGCUGAGCUGAACUGGGCUGAGCUGAGCUGAGCUGGGCUGAGCUGGGCAAACUGGGCUGAAAUAGGCUGAACUGACCUAGGCUGGGCUGAGCAGGGUUGAGCUGGCCUGAGCUAGGUGAGCUGGGUGAACUGGGCUGGACUGGGCUGAAAUGGGUUGAACUGGAUUGAAUUGGCCUAGGCUGGCUGAGCAGGGUUGAGCUGGCCUGAAUUGCAUGAGCUGGGCUGAACUGGGCUGAGAUAUGUGAGCUGAGCUGGACUAAGCUAGGCUAGGCUGAGCUAAGCGGGGAUAAACUGGGCUGAGCUGGGCUGAGCUGGGCUGAGCUGGGCUGAGCUGGGUGAACUGAGCUGAAAUGGGCUGAACUGGGUUGAACUGGCCUAGGUUGGGCUGAGCAGGGUUGAGCUGGCCUGAGCUGGGUGAGCUGGGCUGAACUGGGCUGAACUGGACUGAACUUGGCUGAACUGAGCUGGUCCAGGCAAGCUGAGCUGAACUGGGUAGAAGUGGGCUCAAUUAGACUAAAACGGACUGAGCUGGGCUGAACUGGGCUGAGGUAGGUAAGCUGAGCUGAACUAGGCUGAACUGGGCUGAACUAGACUGAACUAGACUGAGCUUGAAAGGUUGUUUCUGAGCCGUGAAUGAUGCUGGAAUUCUUGGCCUCCAGAGUAGAGGACUUCAAUCCAGGGCCAGUGAUGAGGCUUGAUCUCUCAGAGCUUUUGUGUGAUAAAGAUUUAUUAAAGUAUAAAAGAGAGAGAGGCAGCUUCUGACAUAGACAUCAGCAGGGGGCAGAAAGAGGGCCCCCCUGCUAGUCUUUAGGAAUGAGUUACAUGCCUAUCAGGAGGCUGUUAAUUGGAGAAAGGAAAUGUUUCAGAAGUCAGAGACUGGCACCAGGCCCCUCACCCACAGCACGCGUUUUGAGAUGACGUUGACACAAAGUGAGUCAUCCCAGGCCAUGAAAUGAUUGACAUGAAUCUUGAAGAAAGGCAGGUUUCCAAGCACAUGUGUGGCCUGGAUAACAUAGCUUAAGACAAUAUCUGCAUGGGUAAAAUAUACUGGUUUGUCAGGUUGGUCCUGAGUCUUACGUGGAACUGACUUGAAGACAGAGUAUGGAGUAAAUGCAUAGUUCAUUAACAUAGCUUAAGAAAGACGUUUCCAUAGGAAAAAUGCAUCAGUUAGCUCAAGGUUUGAGCAAAGUUAAGUUCAGGUGGAACCAGGUGUCGUCAUGGCGACACGGAAUUUUAAAAGAACCUCCUUCUAAGUUUGUACAGAGAAGGGAAGAACCUGAGGCCUGUGGUCUGCUUCCUCCUGCCGCUGGAGAGAGAGGAGAAGCGUCUGACCCUGCGGCCUGUUUCCUCUGGAGAGCCCUGGCCUUCCUGCCUGUUACCCUCUCAGUUGGUCUAAAGUGCGCUCUUCUUGGCUGAGCUGAGAUUAACUGGGCUGUACUGAGCUGGGCUGAAUUGGGUUGAAAUGGUUUUAAUUGAGUUGACCUGGGCCGAGCUGGGCUGAGCUGGGUUAAAAUGGACUAAUCUAGGCUGGGCUGAGCUGGGUUGAAUCUGGGUGACUGGGCUAGUGCCUGAGUUGACCUGGAGGCGUGGGUUGAGCCCUCCUGUCCAGCCAGAUAGCACCCCGUGUUUCCUGGGGGCACACAAGGGCCAUGCAGCCCCAGGGUGCACCUCUGACUCUCCCCUGUGCCUUCACCUGUUGACAGGAAGGGGACUGCGAAAACACAGGUAUAGCCCACGCCCUCUGUAGGGGCCAUCCAGGGGGCAGCCCUGAAGGACUGAUUUGUUACUAGGCUUGCAGCCUCAAAACCCUCGUAGUCCAUGGAAGCCAACUGCUGGUUUAGAACGGGU